rnacentral:rRNA from 1 species
AUCCACCUCGGGGAGUACGGUCGCAAGAUUGAAACUCAAAGGAAUUGACGGGGGCCCGCACAAGCGGUGGAACAUGUGGUUUAAUUCGAUGAUACGCGAGGAACCUUACCUGGGCUUAAAUGCAGAUUGACGUUUCGGGAAACCGGAAUUCCCUUCGGGGCGAUUUGCAAGGUGCUGCAUGGUUGUCGUCAGCUCGUGCCGUGAGGUGUCGGGUUAAGUCCCAUAACGAGCGCAACCCUUAUCGUUAGUUGCCAGCGGGUAAUGCCGGGGACUCUAGCGAAACUGCCGGUGUAAACCGAGAGGAAGGUGGGGAUGACGUCAAAUCAGCACGGCCCUUAUGUCCAGGGCUACACACGUGUUACAAUGGUCGGUACAGAGGGCAGCUACCUGGUGACAGGAUGCUAAUCUCGAAAGCCGGUCUUAGCUCGGAUCGAAGUCUGCAACUCGACUUCGUGAAGCUGGAAUCGCUAGUAAUCGCGCAUCAGCAACGGCGCGGUGAAUACGUUCCCGGGCCUUGUACACACCGCCCGUCAAGCCAUGGAAGCUGGGGGUACCUGAAGUCUGUAACCGCAAGGAGCGGCCUAGGGUAAAACUAGUGACUGGGGCUAAGUCGUAACAAGGUAGCCG